rnacentral:tRNA from 1 species
ACCUGAGUGGCUCAGUCGGUUGAGCGUCCGACUUCAGCUCAGGUUGUAAUCUCACAGUUCGUGGGUUUGAGCCCCACAUCGGGCU